rnacentral:rRNA from 1 species
CCUACGGGAGGCAGCAGUGGGGAAUAUUGCGCAAUGGGCGAAAGCCUGACGCAGCGACGCCGCGUGAGGGAUGAAGGUCUUCGGAUCGUAAACCUCUGUCCGCAGGGAAGAACGGUCACUGUGCUAAUCAGCAGUGACUUGACGGUACCUGCAAAGGAAGCACCGGCUAACUCCGUGCCAGCAGCCGCGGUAAUACGGAGGGUGCGAGCGUUAAUCGGAAUUACUGGGCGUAAAGCGCUCGUAGGCGGUAUGUCAAGUCAAGGGUGAAAUCCCCGCGCUCAACGUGGGCACUGCCUUUGAAACUGGCAAACUGGAGUGUGUGAGAGGAUAGUGGAAUUCCAGGUGUAGGAGUGAAAUCCGUAGAUAUCUGGAGGAACAUCAGUGGCGAAGGCGACUAUCUGGCACAUAACUGACGCUGAGGAGCGAAAGCGUGGGUAGCAAACAGGAUUAGAUACUCUUGUAGUC